rnacentral:rRNA from 1 species
AGAGAGAGAGACAGCACGUUGAAUGCGCCUGUUCCCAGUGGAUCACUAAAGAUAGGCAACUUUGUGCGUGGUUAGUACCCGGAUGGGCGGACAUCUAGGCAAUCGCGUGCUGCCCCAC